GACGAACGCUGGCGGCGUGCUUAACACAUGCAAGUCGAACGGAAAGGCCCUGCUUUUGUGGGGUGCUCGAGUGGCGAACGGGUGAGUAACACGUGAGUAACCUGCCCUUGACUUUGGGAUAACUUCAGGAAACUGGGGCUAAUACCGGAUAGGAGCUCCUGCUGCAUGGUGGGGGUUGGAAAGUUUCGGCGGUUGGGGAUGGACUCGCGGCUUAUCAGCUUGUUGGUGGGGUAGUGGCUUACCAAGGCUUUGACGGGUAGCCGGCCUGAGAGGGUGACCGGCCACAUUGGGACUGAGAUACAGCCCAGACUCCUACGGGAGGCAGCAGUGGGGAAUAUUGCACAAUGGGCGGAAGCCUGAUGCAGCAGCGCCGCGUGCGGGAUGACGGCCUUCGGGUUGUAAACCGCUUUCGCCUGUGACGAAGCGUGAGUGACGGUAAUGGGUAAAGAAGCACCGGCUAACUACGUG
rnacentral:rRNA from 1 species